rnacentral:lncRNA from 1 species
AGCUGGAGGCUGGGCCGGCCAAGCGGCGGCGGCGGGGCAAGGCGGUGAAGAAGAGUGCGUCAGACCUGCAGGCUGAGUGGGCCUGGCUGGCGGAGAUGCGGCCAGAGGACCAGCCCUGGCUCUUCUUCGCGCUCUACAAGGCCUACCAGUCGCAGGUGCCCAGCCCUGUGCACCCCGCUUGCUCUUUCAUGUUCGUGCUGCUGCGCAUCCAUGAAAUUUAAUAGUGAUCUGGCCGUUGCUGUUGGCUCAUCACUGCAGCGGUGCUGAAUGGGCGUACCCUUCCAGCACUAUUUGUGUGCCACGAGGGGCAAAGAGCGGGGCUCUGAAAUGCCGCACUGCUGUGCAGGGCAAGUACGAGAAGGCGUGGGACAACCUGGUGGAGGCCAAUCGAC